rnacentral:misc_RNA from 1 species
ACCAGAUCUCUCCCCCCAAAAAAAAAAAAUCCUUUACUUGAGCCAGCACACAGGAAGGACGUGAAGAAGAUAAACCUCAAAUGGAAUCGACGGAGUCGUCUUACGUUUCGUCACCGGAGGCGCCGCGCAAGAGAUCUCCUCCACCGCCAAAAUCGCCUACUUCUGAUUCUGUUGAGAAGCCAACAUAUAUUAGAUUUCUUGUUUCAAAUGCUGCAGC